UACGUAGGGUGCAAGCGUUGUCCGGAAUUAUUGGGCGUAAAGAGCUCGUAGGCGGCUUGUCACGUCGGAUGUGAAAUCCCGAGGCUCAACCUCGGGCCUGCAUUCGAUACGGGCUAGCUAGAGUACUGCAGGGGAGACUGGAAUUCCUGGUGUAGCGGUGAAAUGCGCAGAUAUCAGGAGGAACACCGGUGGCGAAGGCGGGUCUCUGGGCAGUAACUGACGCUGAGGAGCGAAAGCGUGGGGAGCAAACAGG
rnacentral:rRNA from 1 species